GUUUGGUGCAAAAUAGCAAGUUUGUGAAUUUAAAUUCUUUUAAGAAUAUAAUUCGGACUAUGCUAUUAUACAUAAAAGUCAAAUUAGUUUCGACAAUUUUCCAUUUUUUUUUCCGUGAGUGAUCCAUAUCCAUGAGAAAGAAGCCCCACAGAAACAAUCAAGAUCCGUCGUCAAAAGUAACUUUCCAGAUAACGAAAAAAAUAUUCAGAUAUGAAAUUUUCAACCUUUUACAUUGAUCCUAACAUGGGAUAUGGAAAAAAAAUUAGUAGCAAAAAUAACAGAAAUCCCCAGACUAUAGACAAGCUUGUAUGUGAGAAAAAUUAGAACGCCAAUAACAAC
rnacentral:lncRNA from 1 species